UUCUCAGGAGAGCUGGAUCCGAGCGGGU
rnacentral:piRNA from 1 species